UCAGUAACAAUUCAUCACAACUUCUGUUAACUUUUUUUGAUUACUGUAAAUGUAGAUGGAGCUUACCUGUUCAACAUUCUUGAGCACGAAUCGGCCAACACUGCUCAUGAAACCUGAAUAAUCAGAGACGAGGAAACCAUUAUUUACAAUGACGAUAUGAAAUUUCAAGACGGAGACACUGGAAAUUCCGAGCUGUCACCUUCGAAAAUGCCAAAAUGCCGGAAAAGAUUGGUGGUGAUAAUUCCCGGAUGGAGCGAAUUCGCAGUAACGCGAUGAGCUAUUGAGGAGACGUUCACGAUCCUCCCCUCCCUCUUCGUGUCGCGAGCUGUCUUCUUCAUAGUCUCCAGUAACAAGUAGCCCAGAAGAUGUGAACUCGGAUGCAAAACUUCGAACGGAUUCCAUGGAACUGAGAUCUAACCGAAUGGCAUCAACCUUGGCA